rnacentral:rRNA from 1 species
UACGGAGGGUGCAAGCGUUUAUCCGGAUUCACUGGGUUUAAAGGGUGCGUAGGAGGGCAGGUAAGUCAGUGGUGAAAUCCCCGGAGCUUAACUUGGGAACUGCCGUUGAUACUAUCUGUCUUGAAUGUUGUGGAGGUGAGCGGAAUAUGUCAUGUAGCGGUGAAAUGCUUAGAUAUGACAUAGAACACCAAUUGCGAAGGCAGCUCGCUACACAAUUAUUGACUCUGAUGCACGAAAGCGUGGGGAUCAAACAGGAUUAAGAAACCC